CCUACGGGUGGCAGCAGUGGGGAAUAUUGCACAAUGGGCGAAAGCCUGACGCAGCGACGCCGCGUGAGUGAAGAAGUUUUUCGGUAUGUAAAGCUCUAUCAGCAGGGAAGAAAAUGACGGUACCUGAUUAAGAAGCCACGGCUAACUACGUGCCAGCAGGCGCGGUAAUACGGAGGGGGCAAGCGUUAACCGGAUUUACUGGGUGGAAAGGGAGCGUAGACGGCAGCACAAGUCAGGAGUGAAAUGCCGGGGCUUAACCCCGGAACUGCUUUGGAAACUGUGCAGCUAGAGUGCAUGAGAGGUAAGUGGAAUUCCUGGUGUAGCGGUGAAAUGCGUAGAUAUCAGGAGGAACACCAGUGGCGAAGGCGGCUUACUGGACUGUAACUGACGUUGAGGCUCGAAAGCGUGGGGAGCAAACAGGAUUAGAUACCCCUGUAGUC
rnacentral:rRNA from 1 species